ensembl:lncRNA
CGUUUUCCAUAUUGUUUCUAAACAUCCACUCUUCAAGGUGAAUGUGUGCCAGUUAGCCACAGUCACUGGCACUCUGCUUUCUGGGCCUUUUUCUUCCUGCCCUCAAGCCUGCGUCUCUGGAGAGAGAGGAUGCCACUAGAAAAUGUCUCUUGGAUUUCUUUGACAGCCACUUGACAGCAGACGGACCCUGUGUUAAGCAGAAGGCUACACUAAUUCCAGCUGAACAUGCUGCUUAAAUUAACUGGGACAGAAACAAAAUCUAUCCAAUUGAGAUUCUGUGUUUCAUCUUGUCCCCAUUCUUUGAAAGGAAG